rnacentral:rRNA from 1 species
CCUACGGGAGGCAGCAGUGAGGAAUAUUGGUCAAUGGACGAGAGUCUGAACCAGCCAAGUAGCGUGAAGGAUGACUGCCCUAUGGGUUGUAAACUUCUUUUAUAUGGGAAUAAAAUGUUCCACGUGUGGGAUUUCGUAUGUACCCUAUGAAUAAGGAUCGGCUAACUCCGUGCCAGCAGGCGCGGUAAUACGGAGGAUCCGAGCGUUAUCCGGAUUUAUUGGGGUUAAAGGGAGCGUUGGUGGAUUGUCAAGGCAGUUGGGAAAGUUUGCGGCUCAACCGUAGAAUUGCAGUUGAAACUGGCAGUCUUGAGUACGUUAGAGGUAGGCGGAAUUCGUGGUGUAGCGGUGAAAUGCUUAGAUAUCACGAAGAACUCCGAUUGCGAAGGCAGUUCACUGGACUGCAACUGACACUGAGGCUCGAAAGUGUGGGUAUCAAACAGGAUUAGAUACCCGGGUAGUC